UUAUGGCCAUAUCACAUUGAAAUACUGGUUCCCAUACAAUCACCAAAGUUAAGCAAUGUCAAGCUUGGUCAGUACCUAGAUGGGCAACUGCUUGGGAAUAUCAGGUGCU